rnacentral:tRNA from 1 species
GCCAGGAUAGCUCAGUAGGUAGAGCAGGGGACUGAAAAUCCCUGUGUCGGCGGUUCGAUUCCGUCUCCUGGCACCA